ACUCACCCUAUGUAAGAAAUUGGAAAAUGCAACAAUAAAACAAGAAAAACUGAAAAAUGUGACAACUUUAAUCACGCAAGCUCUCAUACAAUCCAACCUAAACACACACAUCCCUUUAGUUGGAAAGUCACCGAAAGACAGCGAAGUGCAGAUCAUUCAUGGAAAGUCAUCAACCUUAUUAAAAAUGCUGGUGGCAUUAACACACAAGAAAGAGAACAAACGAAGGUUUGAGUUGCCCAGAUCAGCCACAAGGAGAGACCAGAGGGGGUAACUGGACAUCACCCAAACGGGUCUCUCAACUGGACCGUGAGCCAAAUUAAUAAUCUUGGUGGAUGUAACUGUUAACCCUUAGCUCAAUUAUCUGCAACGUCAUGCUUUGGUUUAAAACACUUUCGUUUCACGACUAUACUUUUUUUUUUUUUUGCGUCUUAAGCGAAGAUUGAUUGUGUUGAUGUCGUAUGCCCCUAUUUGACACAGGACCCUUAAAGUCUUGAUCCGGACAAGGCUGGUGUCUGUGCUCAGUGUGGAUGUGGCACCUCUGCUUCCUGUAACAAUGUUUUUGUCGCAAAACAGUCUCACGAUUGACUCACCAGUCAUGAUGCCCCCAAGGCCUAGCUUAAUUAAGCUGUAAAAACCCAGGGAGCAUUUGGCAGGUGCCUCUUUACCUUGGUUUGGGACUCGCUUUUUUGGCUGCGGUGCAUCGGCUCAUUAUGAACCUAUAAUUAAGUUGCAGUUUAAUUUUAUUAUUAUUGCGGUCUGUUAAUUAGCUGAACUUUUAGGAUUUUUUUACGCAAUGGUCACCGGGGACGUAAAUGUGUUAAACUAAAGAUAUUUUUAAGAAGUCACCCAGCCUACUGUUUGCAGUAUAUCCUGUUCUGUCAGUUACGCGACUCAUCUUCGUGAUUGUGCGGAUGUGUGUGUCGCACCAGCACCUGUUGGUUCUGCUACAGGUGUUUGUGUAUAGAACUUGCAACCGUGGCACUUACAAGGAACGCUUACAUUCUCAUGAUUUGCUCUUAAUCCAAAGCAAGCUGAUUUGCCCCCCCCCCCCCCCCCCCCCC